UACGGAGGGAGCUAGCGUUGUUCGGAAUUACUGGGCGUAAAGCGCACGUAGGCGGCGAUUCAAGUCAGAGGUGAAAGCCCGGGGCUCAACCCCGGAACUGCCUUUGAAACUAGAUCGCUAGAAUCUUGGAGAGGUCAGUGGAAUUCCGAGUGUAGAGGUGAAAUUCGUAGAUAUUCGGAAGAACACCAGUGGCGAAGGCGACUGACUGGACAAGUAUUGACGCUGAGGUGCGAAAGCGUGGGGAGCGAACAGG
rnacentral:rRNA from 1 species